UACGUAGGCAGCGUGCGUUGUUCGGAGUUACUGGGCGUAAAGGGUGCGUAGGCGGUUUUCUAAGCUUGGUGUGAAAUCUCCCGGCUUAACUGGGAGGGUGCGCCGAAGACUGGAAGGCUUGAGUAUGGGAGAGGUAAGCGGAAUUCCUGGUGUAGCGGUGGAAUGCGUAGAGAUCGGGAAGAACAUCAGUGGCGAAGGCGGCCUGCUGGGCUGUUGCUGACGCUGAGGCGCGACAGCGUGGGGAGCAAACAGG
rnacentral:rRNA from 1 species